rnacentral:tRNA from 1 species
GCAUUGGUGGUUUCAGUGGUAGAAUUCUCGCCUGCCAAGCGGGAGGCCCGGGUUCGAUUCCCGGCCAAUGCA